rnacentral:rRNA from 1 species
CCAAUAGCGUAUAUUAAAGUUGUUGCGGUUAAAAAGCUCGUAGUUGGAUUUCUGUUGAGGACGGCCGGUCCGCACUAUGUGCGUGUAUCUGGUUCGGCCUUGGCAUCCUCUCGGAGGCCGUUUCUGCGCUUGAUUGCGUGGUCGGAGUUCGGGACUUUUACUUUGAGGAAAUUAGAGUGUUCACGGCAGGCAAGCGCCUUGAAUAUAUUAGCAUGGAAUAAUAAUAUAGGAUCUUGGUCCUAUUUUGUUGGUUUCUAGGGCUAAGAUAAUGAUUAAUAGGGACAAUUGGGGGCAUUCGUAUUAACGCGUCAGAGGUGAAAUUCUUGGAUUGCGUUACGACGAACUACUGCGAAAGCAUUUGCCAAGGAUGUUUUCAUUGA